GGGGUGAAGUAGAACGCCAAACUGAUAAUUUGGAGGUCGAAGGUUCGAUUCCUUCCACGCCCA
rnacentral:tRNA from 1 species